AUUGAACGCCGGCGGCAGGCUUAACACAUGCAAGUCGAGCGGAGAGAGGUAGCUUGCUACUGAUCUUAGCGGCGGACGGGUGAGUAAUGCUUAGGAAUCUGCCUAUUAGUGGGGGACAACAUUUCGAAAGGAAUGCUAAUACCGCAUACGUCCUACGAGAGAAAGCAGGGGAUCUUCGGACCUUGCGCUAAUAGAUGAGCCUAAGUCGGAUUAGCUAGUUGGUGGGGUAAAGGCCUACCAAGGCGACGAUCUGUAGCGGGUCUGAGAGGAUGAUCCGCCACACUGGGACUGAGACACGGCCCAGACUCCUACGGGAGGCAGCAGUGGGGAAUAUUGGACAAUGGGCGCAAGCCUGAUCCAGCCAUGCCGCGUGUGUGAAGAAGGCCUUAUGGUUGUAAAGCACUUUAAGCGAGGAGGAGGCUACUUUAGUUAAUACCUAGAGAUAGUGGACGUUACUCGCAGAAUAAGCACCGGCUAACUCUGUGCCAGCCGCCGCGGUAACAC
rnacentral:rRNA from 1 species